rnacentral:tRNA from 1 species
GUCCUAAGUAGCUUAAUACACUCAAAGCCCUGGCCUUGUAAACCAGAAAUGGGCCACUAGCCCCUAGGACA